AACAAGAAAUGUGUUUCUAAACCGGGCCCAAUCUAUCACGGCCCAUCUGCCAAUUUAUGGCAUGAAACUGCACAAGGCCGAAACAAAAUGCUACUGGGCCGGGCCCAACCCAGCGCCACUCUGUAAAAUCGCUUCCAGUUUGUCUUCCUCCAGAAAAACCCUACAGUUCAUCCCUCUCGACGCGCCGCCGCCGUCUCGCCGCUGCCCACCCAGAUUGACGGCUCCAAUUGGCGCCCAUGGCGGAAGAAACCAACAUAAAAAAGGAGGAAGAGGAGUUCAGCACCGGUCCUCUCUCGGUGCUCAUGAUGAGCGUCAAGAAUAAUACCCAGGUUCUUAUCAACUGCCGGAACAACAAGAAGUUGCUUGGUCGCGUGCGAGCCUUCGAUCGGCACUGCAACAUGGUUCUUGAGAAUGUUCGUGAGAUGUGGACCGAGGUACCGAAGACCGGUAAAGGCAAGAAGAAGGCUCUCCCGGUGAACAAGGACAGGUUCAUAAGCAAGAUGUUCCUCCGCGGGGAUUCGGUCAUCAUCGUCCUCAGGAACCCGAAAUGAGUACCCUGUACACGUAGAGAGUCUGUUUGCUAGCAGUACGUUGUGCUAUUGGGUGUAAGGUGUAUGCCAAAUGCUCAAAGCAUGGGAGUGUAAGUCGCGGCAGAAUUCGCUAUGUGUGUUGAUGGUGGGG
rnacentral:misc_RNA from 1 species